CUGGCAGCCUCCGACCACAACGCUGCCGGAUCUAACCAACCAAUAGGUGCUCGACGCCGCUCCUCAGGACCGCGUCGGUCUUCUUCGUCUGCUCUCUCUCUCCCUCAACCUCCCACGGCAUGUAUCGGCCCCUUCUGAAACUCCUCAUCCGAGUGGCCACCUGAUGCCGCCGUGUAGAACACGCUCACUCCUGCCUUUGCCCGCCUGUACCAGGAUUUGCUCCUGUGGUUCAAGUUGAAUACCGGGGAGAUGGAGAUGGUGACAUGGCUGGCUUCUGUGGUGGUGAGGUUCAAGUUCUACAACGAGGUGGCCGUUGGGCCUAUCUGAAGAGCAACAAUGUAACGCUUUUGAGCUUAGGUACAAGAAGUCGUAUUUGAAAGGGGACGAGAUGAUGUUCAUCAAAAUGAAACUGACACAUUUAGUUAUGCGCCAAUUUAUUUCUAGACAACAUGAGCAUGGAGAAACAUAUAUGUGAAAGGUUGGUCUAUCUGAAGAGCAACAAUGUAACGCUUUUGAGCCAGCGUACAAUGGCUUUCAAGACGCAUGCUACGGAUAACUUGCUUCGAGUCCUGCUCUUUUUAUUUGAGGUGUUUUCUUAGCUUACCACGUUGCCUAGGUGGUACUAUUGUAGUAUAUAUAAUGUAUGCACCUGCUUGUGCCCUAUUUUCCUAGAUGUGGCUCAUAACUUAGAAAUCUAUCUUUUGGCUGUUUUCUUUACACUAAAUCCAUCUUAAUUAAGGUGCCAGGGGAAAUUUUUUGUUGAAUUCAUAUAGGCAAAUAUGUUACUAUAAUCAAUUACAAUAAAAUCAUUUGCACAGAGAAAAUUUCAACAUUAGACAAUAUGAUUUGGCAUGUUUGACCCUCUGUCAGGCAUCCUCCUUUCUAGCUUUUGUUUUUCCCUGUAAUGGCUUUGCCUCUUUUGGUCCUGAACUUUUGAGACCAUGAUGCUUUUGAGAAUGUAUGGAAAGCUU